UGAAGUGUGGACGCCAGUCUGCAUGGAGCCGACCUUGAAAUACCACCCUUUAAUGUUUGAUGUUCUAACGUGGACCCGUUACCCGGGUUGCGGACAGUGUCUGGUGGGUAGUUUGACUGGGGCGGUCUCCUCCUAAAGAGUAACGGAGGAGCACGAAGGUUGGCUAAUCCUGGUCGGACAUCAGGAGGUUAGUGCAAUGGCAUAAGCCAGCUUGACUGCGAGCGUGACGGCGCGAGCAGGUGCGAAAGCAGGUCAUAGUGAUCCGGUGGUUCUGAAUGGAAGGGCCAUCGCUCAACGGAUAAAAGGUACUCCGGGGAUAACAGGCUGAUACCGCCCAAGAGUUCAUAUCGACGGCGGUGUUUGGCACCUCGAUGUCGGCUCAUCACAUCCUGGGGCUGAAGUAGGUCCCAAGGGUAUGGCUGUUCGCCAUUUAAAGUGGUACGCGAGCUGGGUUUAGAACGUCGUGAGACAGUUCGGUCCCUAUCUGCCGUGGGCGCUGGAGAACUGAGGGGGGCUGCUCCUAGUACGAGAGGACCGGAGUGGACGCAUCACUGGUGUUCGGGUUGUCAUGCCAAUGGCACUGCCCGGUAGCUAAAUGCGGAAGAGA
rnacentral:rRNA from 1 species